CUGAGCAUAGCUUAGUGGUUUGAGCAUAAGACUACAACUCUGGAGACCAAGGUUUGAUUCCUUGUUCAGC